ACUCCUACGGGAGGCAGCAGUGGGGAAUAUUGCACAAUGGGCGCAAGCCUGAUGCAGCCAUGCCGCGUGUGUGAAGAAGGCCUUCGGGUUGUAAAGCACUUUCAGUCGUGAGGAAGGUGGUAGUGUUAAUAGCACUAUCAUUUGUACGUUAGCGACAGAAGAAGCACCGGCUAACUCCGUGCCAGCAGCCGCGGUAAUACGGAGGGUGCGAGCGUUAAUCGGAAUUACUGGGCGUAAAGCGCAUGCAGGUGGUUUGUUAAGUCAGAUGUGAAAGCCCGGGGCGUCAACCUCGGAAUAGCAUUUGAAACUGGCAGACUAGAGUACUGGUAGAGGGGGUUAGAAUUUCAGGUGUAGCGGUGAAAUGCGUAGAGAUCUGAAGGAUACCGGUGGCGAAGGCGGCCCCUGGACAGAUACUGACACUCAGAUGCGAAAGCGUGGGAGCGAAACAGGAUUAGAUA
rnacentral:rRNA from 1 species